rnacentral:rRNA from 1 species
UGGUGUUGAUCUGAAUCAAUUAUUUUUCUGCUCGAUCUGAAACUAACGUUGCGACGAAACCAAUUAUUUACAGCACCGUCGGCUUGUCGAAAACUAUGCCUAAGAAACGUUCGAAUAUCCCCUUUAUUGCGCAGUGUCGGCUUAAAACAACUCUUCCUCGCCAACGAUGUUCCACUUCCACUUAAGUUGCGACUUUGUGCCGACAACUGAACGACACUGUUUCGCAGCGUGCAGUACGAAUCGUCCAUUUCAAGUGAAUUAUUCUCUUUUUCAAUGGAUAAAGAAAGCCGAUCGCAUUUGACGGAGCUGUGAACGGUCGACUGACACUGGCUAUCACUAAUAGGCAACGGCUUGUUCAAAUCGACCACCAGCGAAGAAGAAAUGCUUUUCCAAAUGCUCUUGUUGGCAGAUUUUAUUGCAGUUAAAGUGUUGUCCGGGCAUUUCAUCCUUUUACAUUUGGCGAACACUGCAUCAACGUUGUUGUAAUAUUCCAACGAAUCUAUGAACCGUUGAUUCAUAUAUCUGUGAGCAAUGCAAGCUACACAACCGCAACGCAAUUCACCUAUUAAUCUACUAUUUCUACCCAGCUUCAUUUUUGAACGCAAAUUCACGUUCGCUUUUCCUUGUGCAAUGACGAAAUCACAAGCCUUCAAGCAAUGCUUCUCAUUUGCAAUUUCUUCACUUUUGCAAUUCAUCAUUAAGAACCUUGAAGGCUGAAGUGGAGCAAGGUUCCAUGUGAACAGCAGUUGGACAUGGGUCAGUCGAUCCUAAGAAAACGGCGAAAGCUUGUUCGAAUUUGCGACAUGAAUUGUAAGACUGAAUAAUUAUUUGUGUGUGUGUUGUGGUGGAGGCGAUUGUGUCGUCACCAGUUGUUGUUGUGUGCAGUUGUCGUAUGUUUUCGAAAGGGAAUCCGGUUGAUAUUCCGGAACCGAGUAACGGAGACAAAGAGUAGCGCUUUAAUCUCUCUGUGGGGUUGGCGUUCAACUCAAUCGCGCGGUAACGCAAGCGAACUCGGAAAAUGACCGUCGUGAGUUUCGAAAAGAGUUUUCUUUUCUUUUUAAGGGACGCAUUCCCUGGAACCGGGUUGUCCGGAGAUAGGGAUUCUGGUAUCCAUAAAACGCAAUUUUUCGCUUCUUUGCCGCUGAAGAUGAUCUCUGGGACGCUUGAUCAUCCAUAAAUUCCGCCAACAAACCAAACGAACUCUCAGAACAUGCUGGUGACGCCUGGUAAAUCUCGUACUUGGUCGUACUGAUAUCCGCAGCAGGUCUCCAAGGUGAAUAGCCUCUGGCCGAUAGAAUAAUGUAGGUAAGGGAAGUCGGCAAAACGGAUCCGUAACUUCGGAACAAGGAUUGGCUCUAAGGGCUGGGCCGAUCGGGCUGAGGUUUCAAGCGUGCAGUGUAUGUUGGCUUAGCUGUGUUGAGGACUUGUUCACUUGCCACCGGUUGUUCGGCUGGUCGAGUGUAUUCGAGUCUGAAGCAGAGCUGGCCGACAGACCGGCACGUGCAGAACCUGAGCUGCGCGGCUGUCCGUUUUCGUGUACAGACCGUUUCGGUCGGCAUUCAACAGCCAACUUAGAACUGGCACGGACACAAGGAAUCUGACUGUAUAAUUAAAACAAAGCAUUGCGAUGGCCGAUGAUCGGUGAUGACGCAAUGUGAUUUCUGCCCAGUGCUCUGAAUGUCAAAGUGAAGAAAUUCAAUCAAGCGCGGGUAAACGGCGGGAGUAACUAUGACUCUCUUAAGGUAGCCAAAUGCCUCGUCAUCUAAUUAGUGACGCGUAUGAAUGGAUCAACAAGAUUCCUUCUGUCCCUAUCUACUAUCUAGCGAAACCACAGCCAAGGGAACGGGCUUGGCAAAAUCAGCGGGGAAAGAAGACCCUGUUGAGCUUGACUCUAGUCUGACUCUGUGAAGAGACAUGAAAGGUGUAGCAUAGGUGGGAGAUUGUCAAUUUGCCAUCGUUCACGCGA